AACAUUUCCCAUUAAUCUUGAGUGCGGACAAGUGCGAUGUUUCGGGGUGGGGGUAAAUGCGAAGGGGUCGAAAAAUGGCCUUGCCGGCUCCCUCUCCUUCACACAGGCUGCCUUGGAGGCUCUUCCCCAGAGAGCUGUUUCUACGAGCAACAACUGGGAGAGCUUGCUAAUUGAAGUUGAAGCAUUCCACGUCCUCCAGAAAACACUCAAACUAAUGAGGUAACAAAGGCCCAGAGGACAAAAAUUAAGCAAAUCAAAGUUUAUUCUUGAAAU
rnacentral:lncRNA from 1 species